rnacentral:misc_RNA from 1 species
UAAAUAUUAAACUUUAUGAGAUUAUUAAUUUACCCAGAUAACCAAAUCUGAAAAAGCAGAGUCCCACACAGCGGAUUCAUGGCCAACUGUGUCUGCAUUGGGCUUGUGUUUUGUAGACAGAAUCUGCUGAACAAAAUCUGACAGCAUAUUGGCGGCAGAAAAGCAGCAGAUCUGUGCAUCGAAUGCGGUCUCUGUCUGCGGAACGCAAGCUUGGUGCGGACACAGUAGGCUGUGACUUUGCUGUGGGAUUCUACUUUUGCAGGUUUGGUUAUCUAGGAGGCAGAUGUUAAAAGCAUUGGCGGCUGAACAAAGUACAACGGUAUCUAACGAUACUAACGACGAAUCUGUCAGUUGUCAGGAUUCCAUGCAAUUACUGCCCGACUCGAUGGAUUCGACGUUCAGUACUGGAGAUACACUGUGCUUACAGCCAAUAUCAAUAAUUAAAGGUGAGUGCAAAAAUGUACAAAAAUGUAAAGACAAUAACCUUGUCAUAGAAAAAAACAAGCCUUGUAGAUACUGAUCGUAU